rnacentral:rRNA from 1 species
GCAUAUCAAUAAGCGGAGGAAAAGAAACCAACAGGGAUUGCCCUAGUAACGGCGAGUGAAGCGGCAACAGCUCAAAUUUGAAAUCUGGCUUCGGCCCGAGUUGUAAUUUGCAGAGGAAGCUUUAGGCGCGGCACCUUCUGAGUGCCCUGGAACGGGACGCCAUAGAGGGUGAGAGCCCCGUAUAGUUGGAUGCCUAGCCUGUGUAAAGCUCCUUCGACGAGUCGAGUAGUUUGGGAAUGCUGCUCAAAAUGGGAGGUAAAUUUCUUCUAAAGCUAAAUACCGGCCAGAGACCGAUAGCGCACAAGUAGAGUGAUCGAAAGAUGAAAAGCACUUUGAAAAGAGGGUUAAAUAGCACGUGAAAUUGUUGAAAGGGAAGCGCUUGUGACCAGACUUGCGCCGGGUUGAUCAUCCGGUGUUCUCACCGGUGCACUCUGCCCGGCUCAGGCCAGCAUCGGUUCUCGCGGGGGGAUAAAGGUCCGGGGAAUGUAGCUCCUCCGGGAGUGUUAUAGCCCCGGGCGUAAUACCCUCGCGGGGACCGAGGAUCGCGCUUCGGCAAGGAUG